rnacentral:tRNA from 1 species
GGGUGGUUAGCUCAGUUGGUUAGAGCGUUCGCCUUACAAGCGAGAGGUCACAGGUUCGAGCCCUGUACUACCCA